rnacentral:miRNA from 1 species
ACUCAAUAAUGAACUGCAAAUCACCUGUCUGUGAUCCCAGCACUUGGGAGACAGAGGCAGGAGGAU